rnacentral:sRNA from 1 species
GCCAGGCGUGGUGGUGCAUGCCUGUGAUCCCAGCGGCUUGGGAGGCUGAGACAGAAUAAUAGCAUGGGCGAGGUGCUAAGCAACUCAGUGAGACCCUGUCUCUA